rnacentral:rRNA from 1 species
GGCCUUGACAUACUAAGAACUUUCCAGAGAUGGAUUGGUGCCUUCGGGAACUUAGAUACAGGUGCUGCAUGGCUGUCGUCAGCUCGUGUCGUGAGAUGUUGGGUUAAGUCCCGCAACGAGCGCAACCCUUUUCCUUAUUUGCCAGCGGGUCAUGCCGGGAACUUUAAGGAUACUGCCAGUGACAAACUGGAGGAAGGCGGGACGACGUCAAGUCAUCAUGGCCCUUACGGCCAGGGCUACACACGUGCUACAAUGGUCGGUACAAAGGGUUGCUACCUCGCGAGAGGAUGCUAAUCUCAAAAAGCCGAUCGUAGUCCGGAUCGCAGUCUGCAACUCGACUGCGUGAAGUCGGAAUCGCUAGUAAUCGCGGAUCAGAAUGCCGCGGUGAAUACGUUCCCGGGCCUUGUACACACCGCCCGUCACACCAUGGGAGUUUGUUGCACCAGAAGUAGGUAGUCUAACCGCAAGGAGGACGCUUACCACGGUGUGGCCGAUGACUGGGGUGAAGUCGUAACAAGGUAAGCGUAGAUGA